AGAGUUUGAUCAUGCCUCAGAUUGAACGCUGGCGGUAUGCUUAACACAUGCAAGUCGAACGGUAACAGGAAAAGCUUGCUUUUCGCUGAGGAGUGGCGGACGGGUGCGUAAUGCGUAGGAAUCUGCCUAGUAGUGGGGGACAACUCGGAGAAAUUCGAGCUAAUACCGCAUAAGCCCUACGGGGGAAAACGGGGGAUCUUCUGACCUCGUGCUAUUAGAUGAGCCUACGUUAGAUUAGCUUGUUGGUGAGGUAAAAGCUCACCAAGGCGACGAUCUAUAGCUGGUCUGAGAGGAUGAUCAGCCACACUGGGACUGAGACACGGCCCAGACUCCUACGGGAGGCAGCAGUGGGGAAUAUUGGACAAUGGGCGAAAGCCUGAUCCAGCAAUACCGCGUGUGUGAAGAAGGCCUGAGGGUUGUAAAGCACUUUCAAUUGGGAGGAAUACCUAAUGGUUAAUAGCCAUUAGAUUGAC
rnacentral:rRNA from 1 species